CUUAAUUAGGGUACUCCUAAGGCUUAGGAAGAGCCACACUCAAGGGGCCAAAGAGCCGCAUGUGGCUCGCGAGCCGCAGUUUGCCGACCACGGACCUAGGUAACUCUGAUUUAUUCUUAACCAGGCGCUGACUCCCUCCCUUGUUUUCAUGGACCAUCAUGUGGCUGCCACAGAGAACAGAUGCCACACUUCACAUUCUCCCCCAGCCCUGCCUGCCCACAGGGAGAGCAGGCGGCCAUUUUCUGGAAAUGUAACUGAAACCACAGCCAUGAUCCUCUCUAGCCAGAGACCCACACUCAUCUAGCUCCCCUCUCCCGGCCUCUCUGGACCCCUGGAAUCAGCACACGCCCCAGGAGCUACAGGAGAAGGCAUCGGAGACUCAACACUCAACGGACCGGGGAGGCAGAGAGCCCGGAUCUCCGGGGCCUCAGACUGGAGGUUUGUCGCCACCAGUGGUUCAGAAGGCGUUCCACUGGUGCCUGGGCGUAUUGCUACCAGGAGUUUGGGUGGUGAAAAUAGCUGAAUUUUACAGUUAGAUCUGGUUCCAAACCCCAGCUCUGCCAACUUACCAGCUGUGUGACCUCAGUCAGAGCAUUUCACUCCUCUGAGUGCCUCAGUUUCCCUCAUGUGUAAGUCAUAGGCGCUAAAGUCUCGAUAUAUUUGUAAAUGCCUAAAAUCUUUCUGGGUGUACAUGCCAGACCCUAGUACCUGUGGUUGCCCCUGUAGAGGAGGGCCUGGGGGACAGGAAAAGAGACUAACUUUUCACCAUAUAUCCUUUUACUCUUGAAUUUUGUACCAUAUGCUAUACUAUCUAUUAAAACAUUAGGAAAAAUGAACUUUUUUUUUUUUAAGUAGAGUGAUUAGGAAAGUAUCUAAGCAUCAUGUAUGGCUUGCAGAAGGUACUUGAUAAAGGAACCUUUUUUUUUUCUUUUUAACCUCAGCCCAACCCCAGCCAGUUUGCAGGGCCAGGAGGGAGUGGACAUGAGGGUGGAGUUGGGGGAUGGGAUGUGAGUGACAGAUGUGCAGGUCCUUGCCACCUGGAGACUCUCACACGCUGCUCUCCCUCUCGUCCCUGUAUGCUUCACCUCUCUGGGCUCCCUUCCAGCCAGAGCUAAGGAGGUGGGUCUCUGGAAAGCCCCAGCCACCCCCCACCUCCUGGGACAGGGUCACUGUGCCCUCUCCUCCUAGAGUCCUGGGGCGAUGCUGCAUUUUGCAGGGAAGGCAGGGUUGACACAGAGGAGGCAGCAGAGUAUAGUAUCACCCCAGCCACUAUCUUGCUGGCUUGCCUGGCGGUUUAGGAACUCAAAAGUCAGCUCAGCACCAGGCAAAGAUGAGGCUUCUGUUGCUGCUGCCAUGGGCAGAAAGCAGGCCAGUGGGACUAGAGCAGGCAGAGGUCAGGGCGGCAGAGGAGAGAACCUUCUCGGUGCUGUGGAUCAGGGUGUAUGAGGGGGAGACUGAGGCCUACACUAGCGCAAGGGAAGCUCUGAGCUGUCAGAGCUUGAGGUAGCCCUGUGCUGUUUUAGGGAUCUUCAUUAAUCCAACACAUAUUUAUGAAACCCCCUAUUCUGCAUCAAGCAAUAGGACACCACCCUUUAGGCUACCAGUUAGAGCCGUACAAAGAGACCUGCAAUACAGGUAGCAUUGAGAGGCCACAGGAUUGCAGGGGAGAACAUGCCUAGCUCUACUGGCCAAGGUCUCUGAGCACCUAUGACGUGUUAGGUAGGCACUGGAGUGAGUCGGCACAGCAAUCUCAGGACUGGGUUGGUCUUGCUUGUCCUCCUUUUACAAAGGAGCUUGCUGACCUCAGAGAGGCGGACGUAUGUGCCCGGAGUCACACAUCAGAGCCAGGAUUUGCACCAGCGCCUUUGUGUUUUUCUCUAUGCCGCACUGACCCUAUGAAAGGUAAGGAGGUGGUGACCAGGUGGCCAAGGGAGGAAUGGCAUUCCAGGUAGGUGGGAUGGAGGGGGUAAAGGUUUGGAGUUGAGAGACGCCAGUGCAUUGGGGGACCUGCAUGGCUGAAGCCCAGAGUGACGGGAAGGCCCGUGCUUGGGGGUGAUCACAGCAGCCAGUGAAGACCAGGGCAGGAGCCAGUGAGGAGGGGAUGGGACACUGGCCCGUUCUGCAUGUAGCCUUCACAUUCCCCACUUGCUCCUGGGGCUGGGGAGCCUAUUUUUGAGGCUUGGAGAGGGCAGGGAAGACGUGGGUGGGUUUGUGCAGUAAGAAACUAGGGAACGAUGAAAAACAGAGAUGGGGGAAAAGGAAUCCCCUCCAGGCAUAACAAAGGAAAGUGGCAAAGUGGUGGGGGAUGGCGGGGAAGGAGGCACAAGGCUCUCCCACACAAACCCCAGAGGGCUUGAGGUCGGAUACUGGGCUGGCGGAGCCACAAAAGCUUUCCUGUUAGGCUGGAAGGAGGAGAAACUAGCUCAGCAGGAAGAGGGGACUGGUAGUCAUUGUGCAUGAGGAUGGGAGUAAGAUCAGACGCAGGCCUGCUCAGGACAGCGACCAGUCCCGCUCAGCUGCCCAGCUCUGUGCCCAUGACCCACCGCUCCUCUCUCGCCUGCUGAGGGUGGGCCCCUCCCUGCCCUCCUGACUGGUCAGAUGCUGCACACUGCCCCCGACCCCACCCCAGGUCCUGCCAGCAUCUCUCCGAAGGCAGGUGGUCAGGGCUGCUGGGCCAAGGAAGGAGCAUUUCCCCUCCCACCCACUCUGUCAGUCCCAUACCCCUCCUCUCACUCUGUUCCCAGAAACAGAGGACAGUCGCUACGCCUCGGGGCAGGAUGGCCUUGUGUUCCCUUGGUGACUUCACUGUAAACUGACUUCCAUGAAGAGUGGUAGAGGAAAGCGGACAGGGGUAGGAAGGGAGAACAGGCUUCACCCAGGACCCAGCAGCUCCUUCCCCUGUCCCAAAUUCACACAAAAUUCCUCACCAUGUGCACACACACACCCGCCCUUGGUCCUGCCCUGUCUUAAUGAACCAGAAUGGGGGCAGAUUUCUGCAGGGAGGUGCCAGGGUGAGGAGACUCAGAGAGAGGCAGGGGCAUUGAUCUUGGGGGUAUCAGUAUACGCUGAGGAUGGGCCUGUGGCUGCCUUCCAGUCACCUUGGGGAUGGGAGCUGGAGUGGAGGGGGACAAUGCCGGGGAGGCAAAGUGGGGGUGAAACAGGACGUUUAGGAGCCCAAGGGCUUCAGCUCACCCCUCUCUGCUGAACACAGAGAUCCUCCCUGGACCACCUCCAGCUUGCUUGGGAAGGCUCUUCACCUCCACCCCACCUCCCCUCUGGCUCUUGCACAAAAGGAACUCUCCUUGAAGAAGAGACUUGCAGCAGAGGAAACAAUGGCAUCUCUGUACCAUGCCCUCCGCCCCCUGCCAGGGAUGGUUAGGUCAAGGUGACCUCUAUCUGUUCUUCCCCGGGUAGGGGCAUCAGCGGGGCCUUCUCUGCUAACCUGGUCUCCAAGGACAGGGCAGCAAUGGGUCCUGGGAAAAUUCUUUCCUUCCUUCAGAAACUCACGCCAACAUAGUCAUCUGCCUCAUUCCACAGAGCAGGGCCCGGAUUGACGUGGAGAUGGGCAUGCCACAUGAAGCCCCCCGGAACAAUGACGGGCUACCCAGUCACAGGGGACAUCUUCACUCUGUGGGUAUGUGCUGGCGUUGGGAGAAGUCAAGAAAGGCUCUACCGUCGAGACCCUUCCCACAGGGCCAGGCAACUUGGAUCCUGGAGCCAGCUCUGCAUUCCCUGGCCAGACAGCUGUGGACAGGCCUUUUCCUGAACUACUCAAAGGGGAUGAUUCUGGCUGUGCCUACCUCCAAGGUUAUUGCAAGGAUGAGUUGAGUUGAAGUGUGCAAACAUGUUUGCACACAACUGUACCGUGAUUCAUUCCAGGAUGUGUGCAUACUGUGCUAACUACAGACUAGGCCAGGAAUCAUUAUUCUUCCUAAUAAAAUAUGGUCAGUCUUCUUUGAA